GCCGGUGUGGUGAAAUUGGUAUACACGACGGAUUCAAAAUCCGUUUCCUUCGGGAGUGGCGGGGGUAAACCGCCCCCCCCCCCCCA
rnacentral:tRNA from 1 species